UUGUUCACAUGAUUAAAGGUNUUCCGGUAGACGAUGGGGAUGCGUUCCAUUAGAUAGUAGGCGGGGUAACGGCCCACCUAGUCUUCGAUGGAUAGGGGUUCUGAGAGGAAGGUCCCCCACAUUGGAACUGAGACACGGUCCAAACUCCUACGGGAGGCAGCAGUGAGGAAUAUUGGUCAAUGGGCGAGAGCCUGAACCAGCCAAGUAGCGUGAAGGAUGACUGCCCUAUGGGUUGUAAACUUCUUUAUAAAGGAAUAAAGUCGGGUAUGGAUACCCGUUUGCAUGUACUUUAUGAAUAAGGAUCGGCUAACUCCGUG
rnacentral:rRNA from 1 species